UACGGAGGGGCUAGCGUUGUUCGGAAUUACUGGGCGUAAAGCGCGCGUAGGCGGAUCUGCAAGUCGGGGGUGAAAUCCCGAGGCUCAACCUCGGAACUGCCUUCGAUACUGCGGGUCUCGAGUCCGGGAGAGGUGAGUGGAAUUCCUAGUGUAGAGGUGAAAUUCGUAGAUAUUAGGAAGAACACCAGUGGCGAAGGCGGCUCACUGGCCCGGUACUGACGCUGAGGCGGCGAAAAGCG
rnacentral:rRNA from 1 species